rnacentral:tRNA from 1 species
GCCCAGCAGAGCUUCGGUGGUCCGGAGUGCAGGCUUCAAACCUGUAGCUGAUUAACGUCAGAGUGGUUCGAUUCCACCUGUUGGGCG